GAUCCUGGCUCAGGAUGAACGCUGGCGGCGUGCCUAACACAUGCAAGUCGAGCGAUUUACUUCGGUAAAGAGCGGCGGACGGGUGAGUAACGCGUGGGUAACCUGCCCUAUACACACGGAUAACAUACCGAAAGGUAUGCUAAUACGAGAUAAUAUAAGAAAUUCGCAUGGAUUUCUUAUCAAAGCUUUUGCGGUAUAGGAUGGACCCGCGUCUGAUUAGCUAGUUGGUAAGGUAACGGCUUACCAAGGCGACGA
rnacentral:rRNA from 1 species